CACGCCGUAAACGUUGAGAACUAAGUGUUGGGGAGACCCAGUGCUGAAGCUAACGCAUUAAGUUCUCCGCCUGAGGAGUACGCACGCAAGUGUAAAACUUAAAGGAAUUGACGGGGGCCCGCGCAAGCAGUGGAGCAUGUGGUUUAAUUCGAGGCUACGCGAAGAACCUUACCAGGGCUUGACAGGAAACUUAAGACCCUAGAGAUAGGGGGAUAAUAAGUGAAACAGGUGG
rnacentral:rRNA from 1 species